rnacentral:rRNA from 1 species
AUUGAACGCUGGCGGCAUGCCUUACACAUGCAAGUCGAACGGCAGCACGGAGCUUGCUCUGGUGGCGAGUGGCGAACGGGUGAGUAAUAUAUCGGAACGUACCCAAGAGUGGGGGAUAACGUAGCGAAAGUUACGCUAAUACCGCAUACGAUCUAAGGAUGAAAGCAGGGGAUCGCAAGACCUUGUGCUCCUGGAGCGGCCGAUAUCUGAUUAGCUAGUUGGUGAGGUAAAGGCUCACCAAGGCAUCGAUCAGUAGCUGGUCUGAGAGGACGACCAGCCACACUGGAACUGAGACACGGUCCAGACUCCUACGGGAGGCAGCAGUGGGGAAUUUUGGACAAUGGGGGCAACCCUGAUCCAGCAAUGCCGCGUGAGUGAA